rnacentral:rRNA from 1 species
UACGGGGGGGGUAAGCGUUGUUCGGAAUUACUGGGCGUAAAGGGCUCGUAGGCGGCCAACUAAGUCGGACGUGAAAUCCCUCAGCUUAACUGGGGAACUGCGUCCGAUACUGGAUGGCUUGGAUUCGGGAGAGGAAUGCGGAAUUCCAGGUGUAGCGGUGAAAUGCGUAGAUAUCUGGAGGAACACCGGUGGCGAAGGCGG